AGGGUUGUAGCUUAGUGGUAGAGAGUAUGCUUUCCAUGUGUGAGGGACUGGGUUCAAUCCCUAGCAGCUCCU
rnacentral:tRNA from 1 species